rnacentral:rRNA from 1 species
AUUGAACGCUGGCGGCAGGCCUAACACAUGCAAGUCGAGCGGCAGCGGAAAGUAGCUUGCUACUUUGCCGGCGAGCGGCGGACGGGUGAGUAAUGUCUGGGAAACUGCCUGAUGGAGGGGGAUAACUUCUGGAAACGGUAGCUAAUACCGCAUAACGUCGCAAGACCAAAGAGGGGGACCUUCGGGCCUCUUGCCAUCAGAUGUGCCCAGAUGGGAAUUAGCUAGUAGGUGGGGUAACGGCUCACCUAGGCGACGAUCCCUAGCUGGUCUGAGAGGAUGAACAGCCACACUGGAACUGAGACACGGUCCAGACUCCUACGGGAGGCAGCAGUGGGGAAUAUUGCACAAUGGGCGCAAGCCUGAUGCAGCCAUGCCGCGUGUAUGAAGAAGGCCUUCGGGUUGUAAAGUACUUUCAGCGGGGAGGAAGGUGUUGAGGUUAAUAACCUCAGCAAUUGACGUUACCCGCAUAAGAAGCACCGGCUAACUCCGUGCCAGCCGCCGCGGUAAAAC